rnacentral:rRNA from 1 species
CCUACGGGAGGCAGCAGUGAGGAAUAUUGGUCAAUGGACGCAAGUCUGAACCAGCCAAGUCGCGUGAGGGAUGACUGCCCUAUGGGUUGUAAACCUCUUUUAUAAGGGAAGAAAAAGUGCUACGUGUAGCAUGUUGUCUGUACCUUAUGAAUAAGCAUCGGCUAACUCCGUGCCAGCAGCCGCGGUAAUACGGAGGAUGCGAGCGUUAUCCGGAUUUAUUGGGGGUAAAGGGUGCGUAGGGGGGUUUUUAAGUCAGUGGUGAAAGGUGUGGGCUCAACCGUGAAAUUGAAGUUGAAACUGGCGGGCUUGAGUACAUGAGAGGAUGGCGGAAUGCGUGGGGUAGCGGUGAAAUGCUUAGAUAUAAUGAAGAACUCCGAUUGAGAAGGAA